CCCAUAUCUGGAUACCACUUGGAAACAGGUGCUAAUACCGGAUAAGAAAGCGGAUCGCAUGAUCAGCUUUUAAAAGGCGGCGUAAGCUGUCGCUAUGGGAUGGCCCCGCGGUGCAUUAGCUAGUUGGUAAGGUAAAGGCUUACCAAGGCGAUGAUGCAUAGCCGAGUUGAGAGACUGAUCGGCCACAUUGGGACUGAGACACGGCCCAAACUCCUACGGGAGGCAGCAGUU
rnacentral:rRNA from 1 species